CACCCUCGUUACAUUUAUCAAACUCUCAGCCAGUAAUAGUGUAUUUACCGAUGACCUGAGGGACUGUAGAUUGUGUUCCAGUCCGCCCUUGGCGCUUAUUAUGUAAUGUUGCGGUAAACAGGAUGUCUCUCUUUCGAUUUGACGACUGAAAGGAUGCUAAACUCGGUUCAUUCGGGGUGAUUUCAGCAGAUGUACCAUCAGGCUCUACUGACUUCAAACACACAGGGUGGAUUACUCUUCCCUUACCUCAUCAAAACCUGGCGCUCUGAAGUCUCUCCAGCAGAUAGAUAUUUCCCACAGCGGAUGAGCUGAAGCUGAAAUGAUGACAUCUGUGUUCCUCCUUUUUGCCUUGUGGGCAUUGUGUCCUCUGAAUCAAAAUGCUUUGCAGGGACAUUUUGCUGAAGGAUGGAAUUCAAGCAGUGCCAUAAACACCACCAAUAAAAAUUCAGAGGGUAAUAGCACAAGGGAACCCAAAGGUCCAACACAUAAAUCAUUUUUGGAAAAACAUGUAUUGGAUAAAAUUGAUAAUCCAGAUAACAACUUUUGGGAGGAAAAAUGGAGAAAGGGAAUUGAUUCAAGAAGAGGAAGAACAGUAAGCAGGCAAUCCUUCAUGGCAUUAGAGGAGUUUAACAAAAUCAAGUUUACAAAGGAAUUUCCAAUUGAAGUUAAAGGAAAUAGAUCUGGUAAAAUAAUAAGCACAUUAUAUAGAAGUGACCGGAAGAUUGAUAUUUUUGAUCUCACAAAUGUAACAAAUAGCAUAGAAGUCACUCGAAGA